CCCAGUGUGAUUCUGUCAGGUCAGCCCUCAUUGGUUGUCAGCUGUCACAUGCACACGGAGCCCCGCCCAGUGUGAUUCUGUCAGGUCAGCCCUCAUUGGUCGUCUGCUGUCACACGCACACGGAGCCCCGCCCAGUUUGAUUCUGUCAGGUCAGCCCUCAUUGGUCGUCAGCUGUCACACGCACACGGAGCCCCGCCCAGUUUGAUUCUGUCAGGUCAGCCCUCAUUGGUCAUCUGCUGUCACACACACACAGAGCCCCGCCCAGUUUGAUUCUGUCAGGUCAGCCCUCAUUGGUCGUCUGCUGUCACACGCACACGGAGCCCCGCCCAGUUUGAUUCUGUCAGGUCAGCCCUCAUUGGUCGUCAGCUGUCACAUGCACACAGAGCCCUGCCCACUUAGAUUCUGUCAGGUCAGCCCUCAUUGGUCAUCUGCUG